AGCGAACGCUGGCGGCAGGCCUAACACAUGCAAGUCGAGCGCCCAGCAAUGGGAGCGGCAGACGGAUGAGUAACACGUGGGGAUCUACCCUUUGGUACGGAAUAACCCAGGGAAACUUGGACUAAUACCGCAUGUGCCCUUCGGGGGAAAGAUUUAUCGCCAAAGGAUGAACCCGCGUCGGAUUAGCUAGUUGGUGGGGUAAAGGCUCACCAAGGCGACGAUCCGUAGCUGGUCUGAGAGGAUGAUCAGCCACACUGGGACUGAGACACGGCCCAGACUCCUACGGGAGGCAGCAGUGGGAAUAUUGGACAAUGGGCGCAAGCCUGAUCCAGCCAUGCCGCGUGAGUGAUGAAGGCCUUAGGGUUGUAAAGCUCUUUCGCCGGUGAAGAUAAUGACGGUAACCGGAGAAGAAGCCCCGGCUAACUUCGUGCCAGCCGCCGCCGUAA
rnacentral:rRNA from 1 species